ACGCAGGCGCACUAAGAGAGAAAAACAACAAGAAAACGGAUAUGACAAUUAUAGGAAAUCCCCUCCCUAGAGUUAAGGAGGAGUAGAAAGUGGGCAUAAAAGAACAAAGGCUAUUUUAAUCCAGGGCUGAUACCACUUGAAAAUCAGCCCGUUCCUCUCUCUAGAACAUUCUUUGCUUAAUAAAUUUUGUGGAGUGGUUAUUUGUGAGUCUCAUCCAAUUCUUUGUUCACAGCACCAAGAACCUGGAACUCCCAACUUCCAAUCUGGUAACAUAUUUUGGUGAGCCAGCCAGUAGGCUUUCCAACCUGCAAUACCUAAAGCUCCAGACCUAGAACCUGAAGCUCCCAUCAAUCGCUACCCUGGGAACCUGUGGAGGAUCCGAAGUACCUGUUUAAAGGGCAUCCAAAAGAGUCUACCAAGCUACAAAUGGCUGUAUUGCCUGAAGCCCCAUAUAUCAUCAUACAAGAAAUAAGUCCAGACUUCAUAAUUUCCCCCUGGAUAGAGCAGGAUGAGAGUUCUGUGGUCCCCCGUUAGGUAGGGUCAACAGUCCUACUCAGCCAGAAGCAGCUAUAGAAGAAAGAACUUCGACCCUCAGCAAGCUAUAGAGAUUUAUGGGGAUCACAUCUCUCAGAGGGAACUGAGGCAGGAGAAUAGGGAAGGAAGUCAGAAAAUCAACCAGCAGCCCGUUCUCAGCAAAACAAGCAUAAGGCACCAUCUGAUAAGGAAGCUGAAGCAAUGAACCAGUGCUUUCUGCAGUAAACAAAUCUGGUAUAAACUGGAACAGGAGAGUCACUGAAAGAAGAGCAUGCGCUUUAGGGGCAAAAUGUGUCCUCAGGAUAACCUUUUAUUAUAAUAAGUUACUUAAAGCCCAUACAUAUGGAAUGCAUAUCAUACAUAUGCUUAAAAUUAUGGAAUGGCAAGCACACACAGGCACACUGAGAGAGAAAAACAACAAGAAAACUGAUAUGUCAAUUAUAGGCAACCUCCUCCCUAAAAGUUAAGCAAGAGUAGUAAGGGGGUAUAAAAGAACAAAGGCUGUGUUAACCCAGGGCUGAUACCACUCGCAGAUCAGCCUGUUCCUCUCUCUGGAACAUUCUUUGCUGAAUAAAUCUUGUGGUGUCAUUA